AGUGAACGCUGGCGGUAGGCCUAACACAUGCCAGUCGAACGGCAGCACAGUAAGAGCUUGCUCUUACGGGUGGCGAGUGGCGGACGGGUGAGGAAUACAUCGGAAUCUACUUUUUCGUGGGGGAUAACGUAGGGAAACUUACGCUAAUACCGCAUACGACCUACGGGUGAAAGCAGGGGAUCUUCGGACCUUGCGCGAUUGAAUGAGCCGAUGUCGGAUUAGCUAGUUGGCGGGGUAAAGGCCCACCAAGGCGACGAUCCGUAGCUGGUCUGAGAGGAUGAUCAGCCACACCGGAACUGAGACACGGUCCAGACUCCUACGGGAGGCAGCAGUGGGGAAUAUUGGACAAUGGGCGCAAGCCUGAUCCAGCCAUACCGCGUGGGUGAAGAAGGCCUUCGGGUUGUAAAGCCCUUUUGUUGGGAAAGAAAAGCAGCAGGUUAAUACCCCGCUGUUCUGACGGUACCCAAAGAAUAAGCACCGGCUAACUUCGUG
rnacentral:rRNA from 1 species